AAAUAAAUAAGGUUUCAAAAAUAAAAUCAACACUUCAAAAUAAAUAAGGGUUCAAUAAUAACAUCAACAUUUCACAAUUAAAAAAUGGUU